rnacentral:lncRNA from 1 species
GGGAGAGCGUUCCUCCCAUGAGGCAAACACUGUUGGUCUUACUUGAGGCGUGAGCCCUUUGAGCUAUUCGUUCAACCAAUAUUUAUGAAGUGCCUCGUAGGUGCCAGGAACUAUGCCACAUGUUAUGGAGACAACGUCAUAAUUAUCACUGUCAUCAUUGGCAUCUUUGGUCAGCAACAAACAGCAGAGUCGAGAGAUGGCCUGGGGGGAGGGGCGCUACAGCUACACUCACGGUUAUACCAACUCCCUCCAGGCUGUCCAAAUAAAUAUUUAUACGAGCUACGCUAGAAUGCUAACAUGCUUGCUAAAUCAGCAUGAUUUCAAGCAUCCUGCAGCAUAGGGGAAAAAAAGCAGUGAUUGAACCAUCCCUGCCCUCACUGAGCUUACACUCUAGAAGGGAAGGCAAACGAGGAACCAAGAGCAGGAAAGCAUCAAACCUUUCCCAGGCUGAAAUAUGGAAAAUCUGCAGGGAGCAUCUCAGCAGGAGAGGAAUUUCAUUAGAACGAGCACAUCAUAAUCCAGCGACUUCUGCUCUCCCCCUAAGCCUCCCUAUUGAUAAGGCGUCCGAGGCGAUUUUUAUGGAUUUGCAAAGAGAAAUGAUUUCAUAAGAUCCUUUCAGAGAGGUUGCUUUGGUCCGGGCCUUUGAAUUAUUUUCUGCUCGCUGAUGAAAAAAUUUUCAGACAUUUGGCUUAACUGUGACUGCUGGCUAGGAGGCUGGCCUGGAGGAGAGGCGCGCAGCCUCAGCCACAGACAACGCUUUCUGCAGUCACAGAGGAUCUGACUGGACGGUUUCCCGGGUCUCUGAGGAGUGACACACUGUUACUACCUGCGCUUUGAAUGACCUGUUGGAAGAAGGCAAGAAGCAGGCUUCUAAAGGAAUUAGAUCGACAACCACACAAUCUGCCAACUUUCAAAGGUGUCAAUCCAGUUCAGAAAAAGCUCAGCUGCCCUCGUCGGGGUCCGGGGAGGGAACCGGAGGCCACUGAGGGAAGCAAUGGAUUGAUGGGUUUUUAAAGUACACUUCUGUCCUCAGCCUCCUCCCCCAACUCAACUUCUGCAUUCUCUUGUUAAAUAUUUUAUGGGGAAGAAAAGAAAGCCUCAAUUUCCCCACCUGUGAAAUGAUGACAAUGAUAGCACUACAGAAGUGACGGAAGGUGCUGUGCAUAUUAAAGGAG